rnacentral:rRNA from 1 species
UACGGGGGGGGCAAGCGUUGUUCGGAAUUACUGGGCGUAAAGGGCUCGUAGGCGGCCAUCUAAGUCGGACGUGAAAUUCCUCGGCUUAACCGGGGAACUGCGUCUGAUACUGGAUGGCUUGAGUUUGGGAGAGGGACGCGGAAUUCCAGGUGUAGCGGUGAAAUGCGUAGAUAUCUGGAGGAACACCGGUGGCGAAGGCGGCGUCCUGGACCGGCAUUGACGCUGAGGCGCGAAAGCCAGGGGAGCAAACGGG